rnacentral:misc_RNA from 1 species
GAUGAAGAACGCAACGAAAUGCGAUACGUAAUGUGAAUUGCAGAAUUCAGUGAAUCAUCGAAUCUUUGAACGCACAUUGCGCCCGCCAGCACUCUGGCGGGCAUGCCUGUUCGAGCGUCAUUUCAACCAUCAAGCCCCAGGCUUGCGUUGGAGCCCUGCGGCUGCCGCAGCCUCCUAAAAGCAGUGGCGGGCUCGCUAUCACACCGAGUGCAGUAGAUUACUCUUCGCUCAGGGCGUGCAGCGGGUUCCGGCCGUGAAACCCCCUACUUUUAAAGGUUGACCUCGGAUCAGGUAGGAAUACCCGCUGAACUUAAGCAUAUCAAUAAGCGGAGGA